GAUGAACGCUGGCGGCGUGCCUAAUACAUGCAAGUCGAGCGAACAGACGAGGAGCUUGCUCCUCUGACGUUAGCGGCGGACGGGUGAGUAACACGUGGAUAACCUACCUAUAAGACUGGGAUAACUUCGGGAAACCGGAGCUAAUACCGGAUAACAUGUUGAACCGCAUGGUUCAACAGUGAAAGACGGUCUUGCUGUCACUUAUAGAUGGAUCCGCGCCGCAUUAGCUAGUUGGUAAGGUAACGGCUUACCAAGGCAACGAUGCGUAGCCGACCUGAGAGGGUGAUCGGCCACACUGGAACUGAGACACGGUCCAGACUCCUACGGGAGGCAGCAGUAGGGAAUCUUCCGCAAUGGGCGAAAGCCUGACGGAGCAACGCCGCGUGAGUGAAGAAGGUCUUCGGAUCGUAAAACUCUGUUAUUAGGGAAGAACAAAUGUGUAAGUAACUAUGCACGUCUUGACGGUACCUAAUCAGAAAGCCACGACUAACUACGUG
rnacentral:rRNA from 1 species